UCUUAUAAAUGAGUAAAGAAAGUGUUUUCUUGUGAGGGAAUAUACUCCUAGUAAAGAUGUUAUGAA
rnacentral:pre_miRNA from 1 species